GUACUCUGCAUAUAAGUUAAAUAAGGGUGACAGUAUACAACCUUGAUGUACUCCUUUCCCUAUUUGGAAUCAGUCUGUUGGUCCAUGUCCAGUUAUAACUGUUGCUUCUUGAUAAGCAUACAGAUUCUCAGGAGGCAGGUCAGGUGGUCUGGUAUUCCCAUCUCCUUCAGAAUUUUCCACA